GGGGCUGUAGCUCAGCUGGGAGAGCACCUGCUUUGCAAGGGGGUCAGCGGUUCGAUCCCGCUCAGCUCCACCA
rnacentral:tRNA from 1 species